UUCUCCUUAGCUCAGUUGGCCAGAGCGUUCGACUGUUACAUCUUACUCACAACCCUCCGAAGGGGGGAGAGGGGAUCGACAUCGAGAGGUCGGCAGUUCGAGCCUGCCAGGGGAAG